AUGGCAAGAAACUCAAUCCUUUUUUUUUCCAGACAAACUUCUUCUAAUGUAUGGUGUUGGUGCAGGACACCCAUUCCAUAAAUUCCAUUCUGGAAUCAACAUGCAGAAUGAUUUUCGGCAAUAUUGGAAUAACUGAAAAUAACAAAAUGCCAAAAGAUAUUGUAGUUCUUUAACACUCUUUGGUCAAUACCAACAUAUAGCUGUCUCCACUUUUAAGAU